rnacentral:lncRNA from 10 species
UUACUUUUGAAGAUCUCUGAAUCGAAGCCAGCAUCCUUCCCCAGGUAAGCUGAAAAACCAAAGGCAAACAGAGUUGGAGAAGGUUCAGACGUGUGUGUGUGUGUGUAUGUGUGCACACGUGGGCUUCUCUCUCCCGGGGGUCCUGGAACUCAGGGCACGGCAUUCUUCUGGGCCCAAAGGUGUGACCCCCUUGGGCAGUGCCCUGCCCUGGUCAUGGGAAUGGGUACCACAUGCCAAGGCUUAUACGUAUCAUCUCCCCACAUGGGGCAGUGGGGGUCAGGUGGGGAGUUGCUGGGGUUUGGCUUUUGUCCCUGAGGACCCCUCAGCAGGGUUGGUGGGGCCAGACCACCCUCCCAGAGGCCCUGAGAUGGAUCCCAACCUAAGCGCAAUCCGGUGGGCAAGUUGCUGAGUCCUCAAUGGCGCAUCUGAAAAGGAGAGAGGGAGAAGUUCCUCCCAAGACUGCUGGGCUCCAUGGGAAACACAAGUCCCCUGUGUGGGUGGGAAAGGCUGGAACUCACAGGAACCCCUCUUGCUUCCAGGGCCAGUCCUGCCUGCCCCGGAGGUCCCCCUGGGCCUGCGCACCUUCCUUGACUGUGGAGUCCAUGGGGCACCCGAAGGGGCUUGCCGUGGAAGGAACCCCAGACCCCUGCCGCUC